CGGAGGGUGCAAGCGUUAUCCGGAUUCACUGGGUUUAAAGGGUGCGUAGGCGGACAGGUAAGUCCGUGGUGAAAUCCUAUAGCUUAACUAUAGAACCUGCCAUGGAUACUAUUGUCUUGAAUAUCGUAGAGGUAAGCGGAAUAUGUCAUGUAGCGGUGAAAUGCUUAGAUAUGACAUAGAACACCAAUUGCGAAGGCAGCUUGCUAUGCGAUUAUUGACGCUGAGACACGAAAGCGUGGGUAGCAAACAGGAUUAGAUACCCUGGUAGUCCACGCCCUAAACGAUGGAUACUCGACAUACGCGAUAUACUGUGUGUGUCUGAGCGAAAGCAUUAAGUAUCCCACCUGGGAAGUACGAUCGCAAGAUUG
rnacentral:rRNA from 1 species